AUAGCAUGGCAGUAGACUACUACUAAUUUCCCCUAUGCAACCUGAAGAGUAAAAGGGUCAAGUCCGUCAGAAGGCAAUGACUGACUUGUCAUUGCACAGUACCAGUGUCAUCAUACUUCUAACAGAGUAUUCCUACACUCUGGUACUUCUACUUUCACUAAAGUACAAUAUCUGAAUAGAGGCUUCCUAAUGACGUCACGGGAUUUCGCGGCAGACAUCUUGGAGUACCACUCUACUGGUGGCAGCGUUCAAAAAUGGCGAAAAUGAAAGGCUACUACGAAUCACUAAACCCGGAGGAUAAGACCGUUUACAGAGAAAAAUAUACGUCGAUUGGUUCAGUGGACCCUUAUUUGAUUCCCGUUAAGGAUUACAGCACCGAUGUAAAUUAAUGGCCUUCACUUUCCUACUUUGAUAUCGUGAACUACCUAGUUUUUUCGUCUAUUCCAUUGUACACCAUGGAGGAAAUGAAGGCGUACAAAGGACUCUCUAGGCACAUAAAGAGUUCACAUCCGGGUGGAUCCGCGACAUUUGCGUUGCAUAUCAAGGAGAUGUGGCUGUAAUAGCUGGAAAAGUAUUGCAUUCUCAGAGUAUUUGGCUGCCGCCAACAUGUCCGUGGGUACUGAUGAAGAAGGAUGGUGCAGUCAUCACAGCUGGCAACUGCAAGGCUGGUUUGGGAUCAACAUAUACCCAUGUUGCAUCUCUCCUUUUCGACAUAGAAACAUCUAUACGGAUACGUGAUGCCAAGACAGUUACCCAGGAAAAGGCGUCCCCUCUCAAAAGAAACAGAAGUACUAAUCAAUCUGAAUGACAGUGUAUAUAUUAUUUGAUUGAACUUGUUUCUUUUACAUUAAAUCUAUAUAAAGAACAUGUAAGUACACGGCACCUCUGUUGUUUCCCCGACUCA